GAUGAACGCUAGCGGCGGGCUUAAUACAUUCAAGUCAAGGGGUAGCAAUACACCGGCGUACGGGUGCGUAACGCGUAUGGAACCUGCCCUUAUCUGGGGGAUAACUCGGGGAAACUCGAGCUAAUACCGCAUAAGAUAGUAAAGAGGCAUCUCUUAGCUAUUAAAGAUUUAUCGGAUAAGGAUGGCCAUGCGUAAGAUUAGAUAGUUGGCGAGGUAACGGCUCACCAAGUCUACGAUCUUUAGGGGCUCUGAGAGGAGAAUCCCCCACACUGGCACUGAGAUACGGGCCAGACUCCUACGGGAGGCAGCAGUAGGGAAUAUUGGGCAAUGGGCGGAAGCCUGACCCAGCCACGCCGCGUGCAGGAAGACGGCCCUCUGGGUUGUAAACUGCUUUUAACUGGGAAGAAAGCAGCUCAUGCGUGAGAAUUUGACGGUACCAGUUGAAUAAGCCACGGCUAACUACGUGCCAGCCGCCGCAGUAAGAC
rnacentral:rRNA from 1 species